rnacentral:rRNA from 1 species
AGCGAACGCUGGCGGCAGGCCUAACACAUGCAAGUCGAACGAACUCUUCGGAGUUAGUGGCGGACGGGUGAGUAACACGUGGGAACGUGCCUUUAGGUUCGGAAUAACUCAGGGAAACUUGUGCUAAUACCGAAUGUGCCCUUCGGGGGAAAGAUUUAUCGCCUUUAGAGCGGCCCGCGUCUGAUUAGCUAGUUGGUGAGGUAAAGGCUCACCAAGGCGACGAUCAAUAGCUGGUCUGAGAGGAUGAUCAGCCACAUUGGGACUGAGACACGGCCCAAACUCCUACGGGAGGCAGCAGUGGGGAAUCUUGCGCAAUGGGCGAAAGCCUGACGCAGCCAUGCCGCGUGAAUGAUGAAGGUCUUAGGAUUGUAAAAUUCUUUCACCGGGGACGAUAAUGACGGUACCCGGAGAAGAAGCCCCGGCUAACUUCGUG